rnacentral:misc_RNA from 1 species
GCCACGUAGAGUGGGUUUUUCUCCUAAAUCAAAGCCAAGAAACCCUAACUCUUCCCAUUUUCAGAAAUUUCUCCAUCAUUUCUUUACAACCCACGACAAUUUGCUUAUUUUGAAUCACAGAGAGGAAGCAAAAGGCAAACCCAGAAAUGGGUUACGUAAUAGUGGUGUCAUUGCCAUUGAUACUGUUUAUAAUAAUAUUGGCCCUUGCAUGUUACCUUCUUGGUAGGAAUUGGGGUAGAAGACAAGCUGCAGCUGCUCGAAUUCCUCAAUAUUAUGGGCCUUCUGCCCCUCCUCCUCGAGCCCAACC